rnacentral:lncRNA from 1 species
AUCCACUGGACACAGCUGGCCUCAAAUGGUACAUCAAGUGAUCAAGAACAUACCAUAUGGAAGGAAAUCAAAAGGCGCCAGGUCAAGGUGGUUUUAGAAGAUGUCCUUCAGACAGAGAUCGGGCAGAGAUUGCUGAGAUGUGGCGGGCAGAUUUGCCUAAAGACAAACCAAUCAGAGAACAAAAGGCAGAGUGAUCACACCUCAACAUCUUCACUCAAAAGACAAGAGGAGAACCAGUCUAACAAAAAGAGGAGAAACGGACUCUACUGGACCAAAAGCCACUUCACCAUCCCAUAAUCAGACUGAGUCAUCCUCUGAAAAUGAAUCAUGUCUACACAAAGAAAUCAAAACUCCGAAAUCCAAACAACAGAACUCAUCACUGAAACUAUUAGAGUCAUCUGAAGUAUCAGGUAACUCCUGUUCACCCAGAGAACGUGACUCACCACAGCUGCCUAAACAGACCAAACCAUCUACUUUUGAAGAGGAGGAAGUAUUACUUCUUGAAGGAUCUCUGCAGCAUGAGGAAGCAUCUUCCUCUGAAUGUGAAUCUUUACACAGACCCUCUUUAUCGUUAGCAAGCCGGGGUAGUCUGAGAGAAGAAACAUCAGGUAGCGAGCAUUUACCUAAUAAGAAAGAAAGGAGAGAAACACAAGAAUGGCCGAAAUAUGCUUCAGAAGAUGCAGAAAAUCACUUGCUCAGGAAUGGAGAGGUGGUGCAGGAAGUGGAUGGUACAAGAGGAAGUGUGUUACGCCUCUCUGUCGGGUUUGAUAGGGAAAUCCAGGCUAAAAAAAUUCGUAUGGACAGCCUUUCAGGUGAACAUGCUCCCAACUCAGACCACACCUCUGGGACCAUAGAGGGGCGGAGCUACAACACAGAGUCCUCUAAGCUCACCCCAUCUGAACUUAUUGUUCUGUCCAGUGAAGAGGAAGAGGAACAGGAAGGAGAGGAAAGUAAAGAGGUGGAAGCCUCUUCCCUAAACAUCCAGCCACUGGAGGGUGCAAAAGACAUGAAUAUAGAAGAUAAAUCGAGUUCAGUUGUGGUAGAGCUACAGCUGUCUUCCCUUCACAUGGGUGGAGUUAGUGCCAAUUGUGAGAGUAUGAAGGUCACUACAGACAAGAUCACCUUUUCAUUAAGAGGUUCUUCAGUGGACAUUUCUAUAUCGACACCUAAUGUGUGUAAAUACAGUGUAUGGGAUGAGCCUGUAUUGGGUGCGUGUGGCCUGGCUAAGGACAGCGAGGUCCCGCCCCCUUCUCUGGUCCUCUUUUGGCUGUCUGAUGACCAGGCAUGCAGAUUACGCAAUGAGCUGUCCGUCAUCCUGCCAGACACAUGUCCAGCUGAAGGCAGUACGUGUGUGUUGCUGUGUUUGGCUGAACCUGUAACUGGUGUUGAGAGUGCGCUCUUGGCCUCUUUAAUGGACAUGGUUCAGAAUCAGAGCAGCUCUGAACUCCCCUCUCCCCUCACACAGUCAGACAGCCUGAAAGUGCUUGAGAGAUCCCAGGAAACACACCUUCUCCAGCUUUUGACGCCUGAAACUGAUCCUCAAACCAGCACUGCUGCACAUGCAGCUAUAUCUGCUGUGAAGGUUCAGAUAAAAUAUUGCAUCUAUGUCUCUUUGCUUUUUUUUCUCCGUGUUUGCAAGUUAAUUUCUUUCCUGUGGUUAACUUUUAAUGUUAGUAAUUUAGUUACAAAUUAUUAG